rnacentral:rRNA from 1 species
GGGAUUAGCUGGCGGCAGGCCUACACAUGCAAGUCGAGCGGUAGCACAGAGAGCUUGCUCUCGGGUGACGAGCGGCGGACGGGUGAGUAAUGUCUGGGAAACUGCCUGAUGGAGGGGGAUAACUACUGGAAACGGUAGCUAAUACCGCAUAACGUCGCAAGACCAAAGUGGGGGACCUUCGGGCCUCAUGCCAUCAGAUGUGCCCAGAUGGGAUUAGCUAGUAGGUGGGGUAACGGCUCACCUAGGCGACGAUCCCUAGCUGGUCUGAGAGGAUGACCAGCCACACUGGAACUGAGACACGGUCCAGACUCCUACGGGAGGCAGCAGUGGGGAAUAUUGCACAAUGGGCGCAAGCCUGAUGCAGCCAUGCCGCGUGUGUGAAGAAGGCCUUCGGGUUGUAAAGCACUUUCAGCGGGGAGGAAGGCGUUAAGGUUAAUAACCUUGUCGAUUGACGUUACCCGCAGAAGAAGCACCGGCUAACUCCGUGCCAGCAGCCGCGGUAAUACGGAGGGUGCAAGCGUUAAUCGGAAUUACUGGGCGUAAAGCGCACGCAGGCGGUCUGUCAAGUCGGAUGUGAAAUCCCCGGGCUCAACCUGGGAACUGCAUUCGAAACUGGCAGGCUAGAGUCUUGUAGAGGGGGGUAGAAUUCCAGGUGUAGCGGUGAAAUGCCUACAGAUCUGGACGAAUACCGGUGGCGAAAGCGGCCCCCUGGACAAAGACUGACGCUCACGUGCGAAAGCGUGUGGAGCAGACAGGAUUAGAUACCCUGGUAGUCCACGCCGUAGACGAUGUCCAUCUGGAGGUUGUGCCCUUGAGGCGUGGCUUCCGGAGCUAACGCGUUAAAUCGACCGCCUGCCGAGUACAGCCGCAAGGUUAGAACUCAAAUGAAUUGACGGGGGCCCGCACAAGCGGUGGAGCAUGUGGUUUAUUUCAAUGCAACGCGGACGACCCUUACCUGGUCUUGACUUCCACACACCUUUCCGUAUAUGAAUUGAUGCCUUCGGAAACUGUUAGACAGGUGCUGCAUGGCUGUCGUCACCUCGGGUG